UAUUUAUAAAUCAGUCAGCCAGUCGCCGUUUACCCACAAUGCAGCAUGGAUUUGAUGCUCUCGAACACGGCCAGGGGUUUCGUAGAAGACAUGAAGGCUACGCUGCUACGCCUUCCUCUCCUCUGAAGACCCAGUGAGGGUGGAGCUCAGUCAGAGAGCUGUUGAGGGACUGGUUAGGAAGAACACUUCUACAGCCAGAGAGGGGCAGUCAAGAAAUGGAACAGCAAGGCCACAGAACAUGACAUAAGCAGAGCUGUGGGAGACCACCUCAAGCCCCUGGUAGAGCAGGGGGUGGUGUUUACCACUCCACCACACCUUCAGCAGGCUGGAAAAUUAACCCUGAUAUUUUAAAAGCAGGGCAACAACGUCAAUAUAAUUGUACCCAAAAAUUGUCAGUUGGUUGCAUAAAUAAUUAUGAUUACUAAAUGUUACAUGAAAUGUAAAUAUUAAAUAUUCGGUUACAGUC